rnacentral:rRNA from 1 species
GGAGUGGGCAUUGCCAUGGGCGCAGCCUGAUGCAGCCAUGCCGCGUGUGUGAAGAAGGCCUUCGGGUUGUAAAGCACUUUCAGUCAGGAGGAAAGGUUAACGGUUAAUACCCGUUAGCUGUGACGUUACUGACAGAAGAAGCACCGGCUAACUCCGUGCCAGCAGCCGCGGUAAUACGGAGGGUGCGAGCGUUAAUCGGAAUUACUGGGCGUAAAGCGUACGCAGGCGGUUUGUUAAGCGAGAUGUGAAAGCCCCGGGCUCAACCUGGGAACUGCAUUUCGAACUGGCAAACUAGAGUGUGAUAGAGGGUGGUAGAAUUUCAGGUGUAGCGGUGAAAUGCGUAGAGAUCUGAAGGAAUACCGAUGGCGAAGGCAGCCACCUGGGUCAACACUGACGCUCAUGUACGAAAGCGUGGGGAGCAAACGGGAUUAGAUACCCCGGUAGUCCACGCCGUAAACGAUGUCUACUAGAAGCUCGGAGCCUCGGUUCUGUUUUUCAAAGCUAACGCAUUAAGUAGACCGCCUGGGGAGUACGGCCGCAAGGUUAAAACUCAAAUGAAUUGACGGGGGCCCGCACAAGCGGUGGAGCAUGUGGUUUAAUUCGAUGCAACGCGAAGAACCUUACCUACACUUGACAUACAGAGAACUUACCAGAGAUGGUUUGGUGCCUUCGGGAACUCUGAUACAGGUGCUGCAUGGCUGUCGUCAGCUCGUGUUGUGA